CUAGUGAGGGUUCACGUCAAAGCUCCCUUGUUGGGGUCGGGCAAGGUCUGCCUCCCGAGGAAUCCUCUUCACAAAUGAAACUUAUGCUUGAAGGAGGCUCACCUCGGGUGUCUGCGAGCCCACCUCACUACACUGCUAGCCCACCUCGGUAUACUCCCAGUCCAAGCCCACCUCAUCAUAUCUCAAGCCCACAACGGUAUACUCCCAGCCCAAGCCCACCCCAUUAUACCUCAAGCCGACAUCGCUAUACCCCAAGCCCGAGCCCGCCUCAUUAUACCGAAAGCCCUCCUCUGUAUACCGAAAGUCCACCUCACUAUACCACAAGCCCAAAUUGGUAUACCGAAAGCCCUCCUCGAUACACCCCAAGCCCAAGCCCACCUCGGUUUUCACGUUUUAAUAUCCAAGAGUUACCAUAGGAAGUGAAUGGAGAAUCAAGAGUAAGAGUAAGGAUGGUUUGGCGUGUAGAGUGAGCUUGAGUUUCAGAACUUUCUCCAAAUU
rnacentral:lncRNA from 1 species